rnacentral:rRNA from 1 species
AAAAAUGUCCGUGGAGUACAGCAAGGUGAGGAAUAGGCAAAUCCGUCCUCAUAAGCCAAGUUGUAAGCCCGAGAGCGUUUAUGUUCUCGAAGUCACUGGAGGGACGUCCAAGAAAAUCUUCUAAGGGUUAAAGCAUUAGUAACCGUACUAAAACUGACACAGGUAGGCGAGACGAGUAGUCUCAGGCGCUCGGGAGAACGGUGGUUAAGGAACUCUGCAAAUUCACCCCGUAACUUCGGGAUAAGGGGUGCCAGCGCAAGCUGGCCACAGAAAAUCGGCUCUAACAACUGUUUAUCAAAAACACAGGACUCUGCCAACUCGUAAGAGGAUGUAUAGAGUCUGACGCCUGCCCGGUGCCAGAAGGUUAAGGAAGAGGGUUAGUCGCAAGACGAAGCUCGCAACCGAAGCCCUGGUAAACGGCGGCCGUAACUAUGACGGUCCCAAGGUAGCGAAGUUCCUUGUCGGGUAAGUUCCGACCUGCAUGAAUGGCGUAAUGAUUGGAGCACUGUCUCAACCACCGACCCGGUGAAAUUGUAGUCGUGGUGAAGAUGCCACGUUCCCAUGGUUAGACGGAAAGACCCCAUGAACCUCUACUGUAGGCUGAUAUUGGGUUGAGGUACGUUUUGUGUAGGAUAGGUGGGAGGCUGUGAACCGGUAGCGCCAGCUAUUGGGGAGCCAACGUUGAAAUACCACCCUGAAUGUGCUUUAAUUCUAACCCUGACCCGUGAAUCCGGGCAGGGAACAGUGUCAGUUGGACAGUUUGACUGGGGCGGUCUCCUCCAAAAAAGUAACGGAGGAGUCCAAAGGUACCCUCAGCCUGGUUGGCAAUCAGGCGCCGAGCGCAAAGGUAGAAGGGUGCUUAACUGCGAGACUUAUCAGUCGAGCAGAUACGAAAGUAGGGCUUAGUGAUCCGGUGAUUCCGUAUGGAAGGGUCAUCGCUCAUCAGAUAAAAGGUACUCUGGGGAUAACAGGCUGAUCGCUACCGAGCGUCCACAGCGGCGUAGCGGUUUGGCACCUCGAUGUCGGCUCAUCACAUCCUGGGGGUGAAGAAGCUCCCAAGGGUUUGACUGUUCGCCAAUGAAAGUGGUACGUGAGCUGGGUUCAGACCGUCGUGAGACAGGUCGGUCCCUAUCUGCCAUGGGCGUACGAAAUUUGCGGAGGUUCUUCUUUAGUACGAGAGGAUUUAGAAGGACGUACCUCUGGUGUACCAGUUGUCACGCUAGUGGCACGGCUGGAUAGCUAAGUACGGAAAAGAUAAACGCUGAAAGCAUCUAAGCGUGAAGCUCUCUCCAAGACCAGAUUUCGUAGGCUUUGCCGUAAGUCCCCUCGAAGAUGACGAGGUUGAUAGGCCAGAUGUGUACGCGUAGUAAUAUGCUUAGCUAACUGGUACUAAUGGACGAACGCUUGGCCAC